AACAGAUGCUCAACACGCUUUUUUUCACUGUCACUGACAUCCUGAGAAAAAACAACCCAACAAAAACUGAUGAAAACUGUGCUAUCACAGCAAUGGUUGUUGGGUAUCUGGUGACAUCUGAACCAAGAUUUGUCCAACUGAGAGGCAGAUGUUGUCACUAAGAGUACAAGGAAACAUCAAAGAUGACUUAAACAACUGAGCUUCUGCAAAAGUAACUCAAGUAACUGGCUUCAAAAUUAACUCACUGCUAUUUGAACAAACUAUUUUCAUUGGAAGAAACAUUUGCUAAGACAAUUGGAAUGAGCACAUGUUUACAAACCUGAAACCGAAUGGUUAGAAAGGUGGUGAAAAACAACAACUGACCAUAUGCACUGACUUGGGAGAUACCAGAUUUACAUCACUAAAGAUUUACAAUACAGCCACCAUGGUAAACAGACAGCCACAAGCUAACUUGGACAUCACCAAACUAAUCUCAGAAGUCACCAUUACCUAACCAAUAUUGAGGAACAGGAGUAGCAUGAGUAUAGUAAUUGCGCAAAUGAAUUGCGACAAAGAGAUGCUCUUGACUUCUCAGCGAGCUGCGAGGACUCUGUUCCAGGAUUUUGAAGCAAACUGGCCAUCUGGUGUAGGUGUACAGGAGAGUAAAUGAAAAACAAAUGAAGAUGGUCAGCAGCAUUCUCACCAGUAAGAAUCCAAAACCGAGGAAGUACGAUGCAAAGCGGAACACAAGGCUUCAACUCCAGAAGAUGAUUCAAGUGACCCUGAGGAGAAUGGAAAAGCAGGAAGGAGAUCUCGCCGGUUCCAAUUUAUUAACUGCAGUGUGCAGAUAUUGUAAAAAAAUAAAUCAUUUUGAAUGGG
rnacentral:lncRNA from 1 species